GGGUUGUGAGGUUAAGCGACUAAGCGUACACGGUGGAUGCCCUGGCAGUCAGAGGCGAUGAAGGACGUGCUAAUCUGCGAUAAGCGUCGGUAAGGUGAUAUGAACCGUUAUAACCGGCGAUUUCCGAAUGGGGAAACCCAGUGUGUUUCGACACACUAUCAUUAACUGAAUCCAUAGGUUAAUGAGGCGAACCGGGGGAACUGAAACAUCUAAGUACCCCGAGGAAAAGAAAUCAACCGAGAUUCCCCCAGUAGCGGCGAGCGAACGGGGAGGAGCCCAGAGCCUGAAUCAGUGUGUGUGUUAGUGGAAGCGUCUGGAAAGGCGCGCGAUACAGGGUGACAGCCCCGUACACAAAAAUACACAUAUUGUGAGCUCGAUGAGUAGGGCGGGACACGUGGUAUCCUGUCUGAAUAUGGGGGGACCAUCCUCCAAGGCUAAAUACUCCUGACUGACCGAUAGUGAACCAGUACCGUGAGGGAAAGGCGAAAAGAACCCCGGCGAGGGGAGUGAAAAAGAACCUGAAACCGUGUACGUACAAGCAGUGGGAGCACGCUUAGGCGUGUGACUGCGUACCUUUUGUAUAAUGGGUCAGCGACUUAUAUUCUGUAGCAAGGUUAACCGAAUAGGGGAGCCGAAGGGAAACCGAGUCUUAACUGGGCGUUAAGUUGCAGGGUAUAGACCCGAAACCCGGUGAUCUAGCCAUGGGCAGGUUGAAGGUUGGGUAACACUAACUGGAGGACCGAACCGACUAAUGUUGAAAAAUUAGCGGAUGACUUGUGGCUGGGGGUGAAAGGCCAAUCAAACCGGGAGAUAGCUGGUUCUCCCCGAAAGCUAUUUAGGUAGCGCCUCGUGAAUUCAUCUCCGGGGGUAGAGCACUGUUUCGGCAAGGGGGUCAUCCCGACUUACCAACCCGAUGCAAACUGCGAAUACCGGAGAAUGUUAUCACGGGAGACACACGGCGGGUGCUAACGUCCGUCGUGAAGAGGGAAACAACCCAGACCGCCAGCUAAGGUCCCAAAGUCAUGGUUAAGUGGGAAACGAUGUGGGAAGGCCCAGACAGCCAGGAUGUUGGCUUAGAAGCAGCCAUCAUUUAAAGAAAGCGUAAUAGCUCACUGGUCGAGUCGGCCUGCGCGGAAGAUGUAACGGGGCUAAACCAUGCACCGAAGCUGCGGCAGCGACGCUUAUGCGUUGUUGGGUAGGGGAGCGUUCUGUAAGCCUGCGAAGGUGUGCUGUGAGGCAUGCUGGAGGUAUCAGAAGUGCGAAUGCUGACAUAAGUAACGAUAAAGCGGGUGAAAAGCCCGCUCGCCGGAAGACCAAGGGUUCCUGUCCAACGUUAAUCGGGGCAGGGUGAGUCGACCCCUAAGGCGAGGCCGAAAGGCGUAGUCGAUGGGAAACAGGUUAAUAUUCCUGUACUUGGUGUUACUGCGAAGGGGGGACGGAGAAGGCUAUGUUGGCCGGGCGACGGUUGUCCCGGUUUAAGCGUGUAGGCUGGUUUUCCAGGCAAAUCCGGAAAAUCAAGGCUGAGGCGUGAUGACGAGGCACUACGGUGCUGAAGCAACAAAUGCCCUGCUUCCAGGAAAAGCCUCUAAGCAUCAGGUAACAUCAAAUCGUACCCCAAACCGACACAGGUGGUCAGGUAGAGAAUACCAAGGCGCUUGAGAGAACUCGGGUGAAGGAACUAGGCAAAAUGGUGCCGUAACUUCGGGAGAAGGCACGCUGAUAUGUAGGUGAAGUCCCUUGCGGAUGGAGCUGAAAUCAGUCGAAGAUACCAGCUGGCUGCAACUGUUUAUUAAAAACACAGCACUGUGCAAACACGAAAGUGGACGUAUACGGUGUGACGCCUGCCCGGUGCCGGAAGGUUAAUUGAUGGGGUCAGCGCAAGCGAAGCUCUUGAUCGAAGCCCCGGUAAACGGCGGCCGUAACUAUAACGGUCCUAAGGUAGCGAAAUUCCUUGUCGGGUAAGUUCCGACCUGCACGAAUGGCGUAAUGAUGGCCAGGCUGUCUCCACCCGAGACUCAGUGAAAUUGAACUCGCUGUGAAGAUGCAGUGUACCCGCGGCAAGACGGAAAGACCCCGUGAACCUUUACUAUAGCUUGACACUGAACAUUGAGCCUUGAUGUGUAGGAUAGGUGGGAGGCUUUGAAGUGUGGACGCCAGUCUGCAUGGAGCCGGCCUUGAAAUACCACCCUUUAAUGUUUGAUGUUCUAACGUGGACCCGUGAUCCGGGUUGCGGACAGUGUCUGGUGGGUAGUUUGACUGGGGCGGUCUCCUCCUAAAGAGUAACGGAGGAGCACGAAGGUUGGCUAAUCCUGGUCGGACAUCAGGAGGUUAGUGCAAUGGCAUAAGCCAGCUUGACUGCGAGCGUGACGGCGCGAGCAGGUGCGAAAGCAGGUCAUAGUGAUCCGGUGGUUCUGAAUGGAAGGGCCAUCGCUCAACGGAUAAAAGGUACUCCGGGGAUAACAGGCUGAUACCGCCCAAGAGUUCAUAUCGACGGCGGUGUUUGGCACCUCGAUGUCGGCUCAUCACAUCCUGGGGCUGAAGUAGGUCCCAAGGGUAUGGCUGUUCGCCAUUUAAAGUGGUACGCGAGCUGGGUUUAGAACGUCGUGAGACAGUUCGGUCCCUAUCUGCCGUGGGCGCUGGAGAACUGAGGGGGGCUGCUCCUAGUACGAGAGGACCGGAGUGGACGCAUCACUGGUGUUCGGGUUGUCAUGCCAAUGGCACUGCCCGGUAGCUAAAUGCGGAAGAGAUAAGUGCUGAAAGCAUCUAAGCACGAAACUUGCCCCGAGAUGAGUUCUCCCUGACCCUUUAAGG
rnacentral:rRNA from 1 species